rnacentral:rRNA from 1 species
UGGAGUCUUUCGGGAUUAGUGGCAGACGGCUGAGUAAUACGUGAGAACUUACCCCUAACCCGUGAAUAUCCCAGCGAAAGUUGGGUUAAUACACGAUAGACCCUUGGUAGCAAUACUGUAGGGUAAAGUUCCGGCGGUUAGGGAUGGGCUCAUGGCCUAUCAGCUUGUUGGUGAGGUAACGGCUCACCAAGGCUAUGACGGGUAGGGGGCCUGAGAGGGCGAUCCCCCAGAAUGGGACUGAGACACGGCCCAUACUCCUACGGGAGGCAGCAAUUAGGAAUCGUGCGCAAUGGACGAAAGUCUGACGCCGCGACGCCGCGUGGAGGAUGAAGGCCUUCGGGUUGUAAACUCCUUUUAUGUGGGAACAAGUUCUGAGGGUACCACAUGAAUAAGUAGCUUCUAACUACGUGCCAGAAGAAUCGGUGAUACGUAGGCUACAAGCGCUAUCCGGAAUCACUGGGCGUAAAGAGAUGCGUA